AGCGGAGAAACUGAGCAAUUCC
rnacentral:miRNA from 1 species